GACGUAGGAUGCGAGCGUUGUCCGGAUUUAUUGGGCGUAAAGAGUUCGUAGGUGGUUUGUUAAGUCUGGUGUUAAAGAUCGGGGCUCAACCCCGGGAGUGCAUUGGAUACUGGCAGACUGGAGUGCAACAGAGGCGAGUGGAAUUCCCAGUGUAGCGGUGAAAUGCGUAGAUAUUGGGAAGAACACCAGUGGCGUAAGCGACUCGCUGGGUUGUAACUGACACUGAGGAACGAAAGCCAGGGGAGCGAAUGGG
rnacentral:rRNA from 1 species